rnacentral:rRNA from 1 species
GAUGAACGCUGGCGGCGUGCUUAACACAUGCAAGUCGAACGGAAAGGCCCAAGCUUGCUUGGGUACUCGAGUGGCGAACGGGUGAGUAACACUUGGGUGAUCUGCCCUGCACUUCGGGAUAAGCCUGGGAAACUGGGUCUAAUACCGGAUAGGACGAUGGUUUGGAUGCCAUUGUGGAAAGUUUUUUCGGUGUGGGAUGAGCUCGCGGCCUAUCAGCUUGUUGGUGGGGUAAUGGCCUACCAAGGCGUCGACGGGUAGCCGGCCUGAGUGGGUGUAGGGCCACAUUGGAACUGAGAUACGGCCCAGACUCCUACGGGAGGCAGCAGUGGGGAAUAUUGCACAAUGGGCGCAAGCCUGAUGCAGCGACGCCGCGUGGGGGAUGACGGCCUUCGGGUUGUAAACUCCUUUCGCUAGGGACGAAGCGUUUUUGUGACGGUACCUGGAGAAGAAGCACCGGCUAACUACGUG